CAGCCGCCGCGGUAAUACGUGACCCCCAAGCGUUAUCCGGAUUUAUUGGGCGUAAAGAGUCUGUAGGUGUCCCAUCAGGUUUCCUGUUAAAUCUCAGAGCUUAACUUUAGAGCUGCAGGAAAAACCGGUGGGAUAGAGGGCGUUAGAGGCUGGAGGAAUGGUCGGUGUAGGGGUGAUAUCCGUUGAUAUCGACUAGAACCCUAAAAGCGAAGGCAUCCAGCUGGGGCGACCCUGACACUGAGAGACGAAAGCGUGGGGAGCAAAAAGGAUUAGAUACCCUUGUAGUCCACGCUGUAAACGAUGGACACUAGCUAUCUGAAGUGUCGACCCUUCAGGUGGCGUAGCUAACGCGUUAAGUGUCCCGCCUGGGAAGUACGGCGGCAACGCUAAAACUCAAAGGAAUAGACGGGGUCUCACACAAGCGGUGGACCAUGUGGCUUAAUUCGUCAACAAGCGAGGAACCGUACCAGGGCUUGACAGACUAGUGAAAGUCUAUCGAAAGAUAGAUCUACCCACAAGGACACUAGUCCAGGUGCUGCACGGUUGUCGUCAGCUCGUACUUUGAAGCGUACGCUUAAGUGCGGUAACGAGCGCAACCCUUAUUGUUUGUUUUAUUUGUCAAACAAAACUGCCUGGGAUAACCAGGAGGAAGGUGAGGAUGACGCCAAAUCAGCGUGGCCCUUUGAUGCCCUGGGCUGCACACGUGGUACAAUGGGACCGACAAUGGGUCGCUAAGGGGUAACCCGGAGCUAAUCCCAACAUACGGUCUCCCAGUUCGGAUUGAGGUCUGAAACCUGACCUCAUGAAGCCGGAAUCGCUAGUAAUCGCAUAUCAGCCAUGGUGCGAUGAAUACGUACCUGAGACUUGUACUCACCGCCCGUCACACCAAGAGAGCUGGCAAUACCUGAAGUCCCGAGCAAUCGGGCCUAAGGUAAGGUCAGUGAUAAGGGUGAAGUCGUAACAAGGUAGCCGUA
rnacentral:rRNA from 1 species